UCCAGUUAUGAAAUACUCAUACUGUUUUUUUCAUCAUGUUGACCCUAAGAGUAUGCUACAUGGUCCAUCGUCAGAUCUCAGGAACAGAGUCUUUCUACAGGACAUCACAGAAUGUGUUUCAAACAUCACAUUCUGAAAGAUGGGUCUGUGAAACAAUCUUGUUCAUGCACCUUCAAGCCUGUCA